UGGGGAAUAUUGGACAAUGGGCGAAAGCCUGAUCCAGCCAUGCCGCGUGUGUGAAGAAGGUCUUCGGAUUGUAAAGCACUUUAAGUUGGGAGGAAGGGCAUUAACCUAAUACGUUAGUGUUUUGACGUUACCGACAGAAUAAGCACCGGCUAACUCUGUG
rnacentral:rRNA from 3 species